GAUGAACGCUAGCGGCAGGCCUAAUACAUGCAAGUCGAACGGGAUUGCGGUAGUAGCUUGCUACUACUGCAUGAGAGUGGCGCACGGGUGCGUAACGCGUGAGCAACCUACCCAUAUCAGGGGGAUAGCCCGGCGAAAGUCGGAUUAACACCGCAUAACAUCAACAGUUCGCAUGUUCAGUUGAUUAAAUAUUUAUAGGAUAUGGAUGGGCUCGCGUGACAUUAGCUAGUUGGUAGGGUAACGGCUUACCAAGGCAACGAUGUCUAGGGGCUCUGAGAGGAGAAUCCCCCACACUGGUACUGAGACACGGACCAGACUCCUACGGGAGGCAGCAGUAAGGAAUAUUAGUCAAUGGGCGCAAGCCUGAACCAGCCAUGCCGCGUGCAGGAGGACUGCCCUAUGGGUUGUAAACUGCUUUUAUCAGGGAAUAAACCCCUUUACGAGUAGAGGGUUGAAUGUACCUGAAGAAUAAGGAUCGGCUAACUCCGUG
rnacentral:rRNA from 1 species